GACGCUCCACACAUACAGACAAGGUGCUCCUGCCUCUUCACAAGAGAAGAUCACUUUGAGACGCAAGCGUGGAAGCUUUGCUUCCAUCGUGUGAGCGAGCCCAGGCUAGUCUGCUGGAUGGGGACAGACAUGUGGC